UACAGAGGUCUCAAGCGUUGUCCGGAAUCAUUGGGCGUAAAGCGCGUGUAGGCGGCUUGGUAAGUCUGCUCUGAAAGCCCGGGGCUCAACCCCGGGAGGCGGGUGGAUACUGUCAAGCUCGAGUCCGGAAGAGGAGUGUGGAAUUCCUGGUGUAGCGGUGAAAUGCGCAGAUAUCAGGAGGAACACCGGGUGGCGAAGGCGGGUCUCUGGGCAACAACUGACGCUGAGGAGCGAAAGCGUGGGGAGCGAACAGG
rnacentral:rRNA from 1 species